rnacentral:rRNA from 1 species
CGGCGGGCCCGCCUUAACUGGCCGCCGGGGGGCUUACGCCCCCGGGCCCGCGCCCGCCGAAGACACCCUCGAACUCUGUCUGAAGAUUGUAGUCUGAGUGAAAAUAUAAAUUAUUUAAAACUUUCAACAACGGAUCUCUUGGUUCCGGCAUCGAUGAAGAACGCAGCGAAAUGCGAUACGUAAUGUGAAUUGCAAAUUCAGUGAAUCAUCGAGUCUUUGAACGCACAUUGCGCCCCCUGGUAUUCCGGGGGGCAUGCCUGUCCGAGCGUCAUUUCUGCCCUCAAGCACGGCUUGUGUGUUGGGCCCCGUCCUCCGAUCCCGGGGGACGGGCCCGAAAGGCAGCGGCGGCACCGCGUCCGGUCCUCGAGCGUAUGGGGCUUUGUCACCCGCUCUGUAGGCCCGGCCGGCGCUUGCCGAUCAACCCAAAUUUUUAUCCAGGUUGACCUCGGAUCAGGUAGGGAUACCCGCUGAACUUAAGCAUAUC